UCCCGCGCCGGGUUUGGGGGUGUAAACUCGCGGGCCGGGCGCUUACGUCUUGGAUUACUCGCUUCCGGGUGUGAGGUGUCGCGUGACGUCAUAGUGUCCAGUCGCGGGCUCGCGUCAAAUUUCAUCGAUUUCGUUUCAUGUCCCUCGCCGCUGGCCCGAUCCGCCGUCCGGAGUUUCCCGGCCGAACAGCCCUCGUGCUCCCCGCUUGGCUUUCCAUCGUGGGGGAAUGCGCCGACGGGCAAGAGCCGCCGGCAGACGCGGAGAUGCAGGGCUUGGAUUCCGGCGACCAGGACGAAGAUGAGGACGACGAAGGUGCCUCCAGCGCCGCUUCGCUUUCCGAGCCAGCAUCCCCUUUUUCCGGUCCACGGGAGGAGAUAAACCGUGAUUCUACCAUGUUAAGCGAGGCCGUAAGCCCCCCGUACUCGAGAUGCUCGUCGAUACCACCAAGAUGUUCCUCGAGGGACUCGGCCGUCUCGGAGCGGGACGUCGUCUCCCGGUGAGCCCCGUGAGCCUGGCGCCCCCGCCGCUCUUCCUGGCAACUCCGCAGCCCCACCAGAAGCUCCUGCGAGCCGCCUCACCGCCCGCCUCACCCGCGCCCUCCCCGUCCCCCCGCAACGAGUCCCCGCGCUCCUCAGCCUCCGCCUCCGCCGAGGAGCCCAACGUCCUCGACUUCAGCACCAAGCGACCCUCCGGGACGCCCCUCCCGGGCCCCACCUCCUCAAGAUCCCGGCCACGGUCGAAGUUCCUCUCAAUAGUCCUUUAGAUUUAUCAGUUUCCAGUAGAAAAAGAAGUCACGGCGACGACUCGUCGCCCGCCUCGUCUCCUAGUC
rnacentral:lncRNA from 1 species